ensembl:lncRNA
GUCAGGGCUAGGGCCUGGGGCCCCGGUCAGGGCCUUGGGCCCCGGUCAGGGCUAGGGCCUGGGGCCCCGGUCAGGGCUAGGGCCUGGGACCCCGGUCAGGGCUAGGGCCUGGGACCCCGGUCAGGGCUAGGGCCUGGGGCCCCGGUCAGGGCUAGGGCCUGGGGCCCCGGUCAGGGCUAGGGCCUGGGGCCCCGGUCAGGGCUAGGGCCUUGGGCCCCGGUCAGGGCUAGGGCCUUGGGCCCCGGUCAGGGCUGGGGCCCGGUCAGGGCUAGGGCCUGGGUCAGGGCUAGGGCCUGGGGCCCCGGUCAGGGCUAGGGCCUGGGUCAGGGCUAGGACCAACAGUCUGUUGUUGAACUUGAGAACCGUUCUGAGGGCCAGGCAGAGGCUGGGACGUGAUGUCUGUUCUAUUUGAAGAGAACUGGUUUAUAUAGCAUUAUGUUAAUGGGGUGAUGGAUACCAUGGCAACUGUGUGGCCAGUUCUGAAUAAUUAUAUUGUUAUGAUAUUAAUAGACAGUUUCCGGUGUGUGUGUUCCCGACUUCUAAUCAUGAAAAAUUAAAUUUGGAGGAGGAUCGGAGAAGAGAUGGAGUGGGCCUUCACCCCGCCACACGGGGGUUUAGCCUCCCCCUGAUUAUUAUGGGCUGUUCCUCUCCUGAGAGGCGCUGUCCUGGUUCAGCUGGGUUCACGCUGUGUGACCCCGGCUGUCCUCUGGGUGACCAGAGCACCACUGUGAGGCAGGCAGCGAAGCAGGCAGCGAAGCAGGCAGCGAAGCAGGCAGCGAAGCAGGCAGUGGAACCAGGCCGAGCAGGAGGUGUUGUCGGGCUCCUGGUGAUACGAUGGUGGAGGCUGAGGAGCUCUGCUUGGUGACAACUACCAGUCUCCCUGCUAUGCCCGUACAUGGGCGCGGGCGAGCUACCCUGGGGGGUUGUGUUUAGGUUAGCGGCAGAACAUGGCACACUGGUCAGUGCAUAAAUCAUCAGCUACCGUAAACAUGUCGCAGCGUUGAGAUUAGCGACAGGACAGCCCUCCACUACAGCUCCUGCUACUAUACUCUAGUUUCCAUCGUGCUGUGGUUUUGUUAGAGUACCUACGUUAGCCUUAGGCUGCGUUAGCAUGUUAGCGUUAUGCUAGGUUAGCAUAACUUCAGCUGCUGCCAGGCAUGAUCACUUAGUGGUGAAGGAAUCGGGAACACACAGGACACGCAUAAUUAAACUGAUCUGUAAAGCUUCUAAAAUAAUGCACUUGGAUAUCCAAGGAACACACAGUCCGUGGAGCUAACUGUCCGUGGAGCUAACUGACGACUGUAGUGACGACUGAAUGAAUCCAUCUUUAAGAUCCUUUUUACCAAGUACAUCAGACUCUGUGUACAGGAUGGAUAUGUUUAAUACUUGAAAAGACACAAGUGCUGCCUAGCAUCACAUCCAGGCCUAUGUCAUGAGACCGAAGGUUCAGAAAAGCCUCAGAGCUCUGUGGCAACAGCGUCUGAGUUACGACCUGGUUAGCACCUCUGGCUACAGAACAGCAGUUUGGCUAAUGGGUUGAGGAGGCCGACCAGGCGCUGGGACUGGGCUCAGGAUCAGAGUGUUGUAGACGUUGGCAGGUCAGUGUUUGUGGAGGUCAGGUGACCCUUCUCACCAACGUCCACUGGCCUGUGGUUCUGAUCCGUCCCCAGAGUGUGUACACCGAGCAAUAAGUCCUGAUGCAUUAUUAUAUGAACCUGGAUUUGUGGUGGCAGGGUCCCUACUUAUAAUAAAUUGAUAUUAUAUUUUACAUCAGCGAUAAGGCUGUACAGUUGCUGUUUUUUAUUUUCUAUGUGUAUUGCACAGUUCUUUGAAUCAAUAGGAAAUGUUGAUGUAAUGAUUAGAUAGCUAGGAGGAGGAGGAGUUGACUGGAACCUAUUUUGUAUUUUAUUUUUAUUCGGCACUGAUCGAUUCAGGACCAUAACGAGAAGCAACUGCACAUACUGUACAUCAGUCUGAGAGCGGUUCUCCAGGUCUGAGAGCGGUUCUCCAGGUCUGAGAACGGUUCUCCAGGUCCGAGAGCGGUUCUCCAGGUCUGAGAACGGUUCUCCAGGUCCGAGAGCGGUUCUCCAGGUCUGAGAUCGGUUCUCACGGUAUGGCAGCCAAUUGUUUCCUGGCCUGUAACUGACUUGAAUCUGGAACAUUUUGAGUUUGGAUUCCAGACGUUUAUAAUAGUUUAUGAUUGAUUUAAGAAUGAGUCGUUGGAAGGCAAAGUGGAGAUGUAGACGAGAAGACCAAACAGACCAUGGAUUCAGACCUGAAUCCUGAUCCAUGUGAGAGGCUGUGCUGCCUGUGCUGGAGUCAGUCUCCAUCGGGAACCCAGGCUUCUACACCUUUGAACCAUGCCUCAUGUAUUUAUUUUGUUUAAAUCAAUCGAAACCUGUGAUUUGGCAGCAUUUUCCCAACGAGGAAUCAUUAUCAUUUGCAAUAGAUCUAGGCCUUAGAGGACUUGGAAUCUUGAAAAGUGUUCUCCUAAAUUAUAACUUUAUUUAUAUAUAUAUAGAUAUAGAUAUAUAAUAAUAAUCAGGUUAUAAUUAUAAUUGAAGCUUAUCAAAAAGGCUUAAACGUGUUAAUAAAUAUGUAUGAUCCAUGCUUUGUCGUUCAUUGUGUUUUUGAUCACUUUCUCCUUCACCAACGCUGAGCUUCUCCUGACGCCACGUCCGCCAUGAAACUGCUUCCUGAUGGUCCGGUUGUAAAUAUUUUAUCAGAAGAAACUACCGCUUUACGCUGGUUGGAUAUUGACCGUUCUUCACUUAUUUUUUUAUUCUUACCUCGACAGCUGAAGGAUGUCAAGAUGUAAUGUUGCACUAAAAGGUUUCCCCUGGAAACAUGAAAUCAAAAUACGGGAAAUGCCGUGGGGCCCUUGGUUUGGUGAUGUUCAUGCAAUAGUCUAAUAAAGCACGCCAUGUCUAUCCUCCAUAAGCGCUGGACUGAAACAGGUGCCACUUGGUCAUAGC